rnacentral:lncRNA from 1 species
GGAAUAUAAUUGAAGGAUAUACAGUCCUCCCCCUCCUGCCUCUGUUUAAAAUAAAACACCGCAACAGAAAAUAUAAAGCUUCUCCGAUUAACCGUUUAGGUGCAGAUCCCAAUGUAUAACGUCUGUGUGUUCCUAUAAGGACUAGAUUCUCUAGCCCUGUAGUGCAGCCAUACAUUAUAGACGCAGCUGCAAGUGCUCAAAGAUUAAACACUAUUUUCCGAAAGCCCGAGCCCCCAGCCUGAGAGGAAGGUGGGGAUGGGCUGGGGAUAGAGUCUCUCGAAUGUUACUCCUAUAGUUUCAAGGACAUCUUGCUGAUGAGGAUUUGGUUAAUGGAGGAGAACUUAUGUCCUAGCGGUGACGUCAUUGGGUCCCAAUGUAAUCCUCUUGUGCUGAACCCAAUCAGCAGAUGUGCUGAGAGCCUGGACGGAGGGAAGAAGCGCUAAUCCUUUAGACUGGAUGAGAUCAGCUGAAACAGCCAGGACUAGACCCAAAAACCCCUCUGCUAGGAAGAUCAAGAGAAAAGGGAUAAAUUGAGAGAGACGCCUCAUAACCCCUUUAAAGAGCUUUGGAGAAGAGAAGAGCAGGAGAAUGGAAAGAUGCGUGGUGCACCCAUACAAGUUCAACUGGCUUUUUCCACGCCGAGCGGGAGCCUGAUUUUCACUCUGAUGAGGUCUUUCUUCAUUGUUCCAGGGGGAGGAAGAGAGAGAGAGGUCUAAAAAUUCAAAAGAUAAUGAGAGACUAGGCGCUUUUCUUAUUCAUCUCUAGCCCGCAUACACAAAACAAGCAUGCUGAACCACGGGAGGGCGUCCGCACUGGAUCUGAAAGGACGCGGAGUUUCUGCCGCCUAGCCACAGAGGGCUGCUUCCAUUGGAAUGGGGUCUCCGAUCAUCAAGACACAGCGGACCGCAGCCCGACUUGCGUAGGCCAACUCCCAACCCUACGGGAGCUUGCUCCGAGCUGGCCCCAGACACGUGCGUGGAGGAAGAGACAGACACGCGAAGGCACGGGGGGCAGAGGCAUCCCCCAAAGGUGUAACUUGGGACCCAGCGCGUGGAGGGUUGGGUCUGGGCCUGGGCCCGCUGUAAAGAAACACAACGGGGGGAGUGGCAGGAGGCUAUUUGCCUGGUUUAGGGGUCCCCCCCGGCCCAAGUUAAUUGCAUUGUUUUGUUUAAUGCCACAUUCCCUCCGGGAGAGCAGGUGUCCCCCCUCCCGCCUCGCGGAAGUCCCCAGCGGCUUGGCGUUUGGCAGGUCGUUGUCUCUGGGGCUGUUCCCCCAGCAGGAGUCUCCGACGCUGGGGGAAGACCGAGGAGACGGGCCCUGUGCGAUGCCAUUGCUCACCUGUCUACACUGUCAGCAGCACCAAGACCAGCCCGCCUCGCCUCAACCCCCCGCCCCCCAUCCCCGUGCAUACGGAGCUUGGUGGAUUCCUCCAGCACUGCGCCCUCAGUCGCUGUGAAUUGCCGCGCAUAUCAACUGCGCUCCGCGCAAUCUGUGCUCAAGGAGGGGCGCCUGGCUAAGUAGGGGGCUGGGGAGAGGGACAGAGACCACCAAGACAAACUGACACCCGU